rnacentral:lncRNA from 1 species
UGUGCCCAACCAAGUUGCUCCCAGAAGACGAAAAUCAAGAUUUUCAUGGAGGACCCUGAGUUUCAUAUUGAGAUUACGAACCCGUUAGCAGUAACUAUAUGUAUUAGCUACAUCUACCCUAUGUGUGGGCCGCAUCUUCAAGAUCAAUGCGUGCAGGAUAUAUUAAUUUUAACUUGGUGUCUGCGCUGCGCCGCAUCUAUCUAUAUAGUGCAAGAUAUUUAUAAGCUUGGUUCAGGUUGUGUCUGAGAAAGAGUGGCAAUCUGUCACAGAUGAUGCCGUUCGUCUUAUGUAUGCAUAUGAACUGGAAAACUUUAUCUGCGGUGGUGACUAUUUCACAAUGCUUCUUCGAUCAUCUGCGGAAUUUACCUCUUUUGGGGUCCUGGUCUUCUAACCCUGCAUGCACGUUGCACGUUACUGUCUGAAAUAGAUCUAAG